UACGGAGGGUGCAAGCGUUGUUCGGAAUCACUGGGCGUAAAGCGCGUGUAGGCGGCUUCUUAAGUCUGGUGUGAAAGCCCGGGGCUUACCCCCGGAAGUGCACUGGAGACUGGGAGGCUAGAGUACCGGAGAGGAAGGUGGAAUUCCUGGUGUAGCGGUGAAAUGCGUAGAUAUCAGGAGGAACACCGGUGGCGAAGGCGGCCUUCUGGACGGCUACUGACGCUGAGACGCGAAAGCGUGGGGAGCAAACAGG
rnacentral:rRNA from 1 species